AGGAAGGAACUACUUCCGUCGCGUCACAGCCGCCUUCUGCAACGCGCGGGAGAUCGGUACCUGGCAAGGCGAAGACACGCUCUGCAAAUAACUUGUGUCGGUCCGUGUUUACCGAAACAGGCCACGCCCACCCGCCCUGCUCUCCUUUCGCCUACAGAACAGCUGCCUGCCACCAUUACUCUAAUCUGCGGAGCGUACCAUUCUGCUCCUCACCCCCAGAAGCUCACCGCAUUCCCGCACCCCCACACCCAAGGCAUUUCAUUGGCUUUCCCGUGGUUGCCCGGGGACCUUUCCUAGAAAGCUGGAAAAACAGCUUAGUCAGGUUUCUUUUCUGGUGUUUCAUGAAAUGGGCUUGAAAAUGUAGAUUCAAAAUACUUACUCAACUAGUCGCAGUUGUGUAAAGAAUGUCCACCAAAGGAAAUAUGUACGUGCGAUUUGGAGUUCCUGGAACUAAUGACGUUUUCCAAAGGGGCUUUGUUCUCGACUUUUUGAGCCAGGGUCUCUCAGUGUAACUAUGUAGCCCAGACUAGCCUCGUAUUUGGGUCAAUCCUAUCUCCUGCCACCAUGCACAGAAUUUCCCGAUGUAAUCCUAGGCUGCCCUCCAACUCCAAUUUAUAAUUCUGCUGAAAUUACUAGUGUUGGCUACUGUGAAUGGCUCUGAAAGUUAUUUUUUGGUUUGGUUUUGUUUUGAGACAGGGUUUCUCUGUGUAGCUUUGUGAGCCUUUCCUGGAACUCACGCUGUAGCCCAGUCUGGCCUGGAACUAAGAGAUCCGCCUGCUUCUGCCUCCGGAGUGCAGGGAUUCAAGGCGUGCGCCACCACCGCCCAGCUGGUUUGUUUUUUAAGUUGAUUUGCAGACAAUUAAAGGCUAAAAUGGAGCACAUGGCCCUGAAUUAAUUUUCAAAGGCUUUGGAAAAAAAUAAAAGUGUUAUGGUUGUAGCCAUAGCUCAAAAUGGUUUCAUGGGAAGAGAGGCAUUGGGUUGCAGAAGAUAAAACUAAGGGGAAAAUCUGAAUAAACCUAGUGAGACCUGAGUUAAUCUCCCUUUAGGCAGUAAGGGUGGGGCCCAAGGUCAAUUAUGUUUGACUCUGGAUCCAUCCAUCCCUUAGGUUGGGGGCUAAAGAGGCAAGCAUAAAGUGGGUGGAUUUGGCAGGUAAAUUCUGCAAUAUGCUGAAAAAUAACAGGAUUCCCUCUUAAAAGACACAUAAAAGGCCACUGGACUGGACAAAGAGGCACUAUUCCUUUGUUGGAGCUCCCACACUUAGGAGAAAUGUACUUUUGGCUAGGUGUGGUGGCACAUGCCUUUAUUCCCAGUUCAUGGGAGAGGCAGGUAGAUCUCUGAGAUGGAGGCCAGCCUGGUCUACAUGGUGGCUCUCUCAAAAAAGGAAAGAAAGAAAAUCGACACCUUUCCUGCUCACUACCUUGAGUUUCCAUGCACCUCCACCGCCUGGCUUUCUUGGGCCCCGUUUAAGAAGUAAAGUCACAUUUUGCCUGAGGCCAACCAGGGCCCAGCUGCCGAUCCUGAAAAACCCAACAACUUGGAAGUGUUGGUGAGCAAAACGAGGACCUGAGAACACAAAGGAAGGAGCCGCCCAGCCACCGAACCAGAUCACCAGAAUCAUAAGUCCACCCUACACCGACUGGGAACAGGUGCAGCUGACUGUGAGGUUGAUCUGAAAACAUUGGGAGGACAGAUUUACCAAGUUCUCUUUUGGAAACAUGAAUUCAUGAAGAUAUCAUCUACAGAGUGUCUGGGCCCAAGAAAUCCCUUUUCCCAAAGUCUGGAAUUUAGACAAAAAGCCAGGACCCCAUCAGGAACUUGGGAAAAUAGCUUCUACCUGCUGAAAGGAAGCAGUCUCCUUCUCUCUAUCUCCAGCAAAAGGAAACUCUGGCUCUCCCAUUAACACAUAUCUGUGGUGCCUCUUGGCAUAUCAAGGUCUAUUAUACACUCCAAAGCCCUUCACCCCAGCUUGCAGACUCCCCUCCUCCCAAGCACCUGUUUCCCUUAAAGCCUUGGACGCCUCCUCUCCCCACAAUCACUUCUCUCCGCUUCCCUGAGCACCGUGGCAGUUUGGAAUAGCUGUUUCCUUUUUACCCAGAGAGCUGCUAUUUUAGUUCCUUUACUGCACCCAUUUCAUUCAGUGGUGCUGAAAACCUAGGAGAGACAUAACUGAGUGUGGUGGUUUGAAAGAAAAUGGCCCCAAAGGGAGUGGCACUAUGGGGAGGUGUGGUCUUGUGUUGUUGGUUGUUUUGCUCUUGUGUGUGUGUGUGGGGGGGUGUCGCCAGCCAACUCCCAAAGAAAUCACACACAGAGGCCAGCCUUAGCUUGGCCUGUUUCUUGUCAACUUUUUUUAUUUUAUUAUUUUUUUUAACUUAAAUUAUCUCUUUUGCCUCUGGGCUUUUUCCUUUUCUUACUUCUGUAUAUCUUAUUUUCACUCUUACUCUGUGCUGCAUGACCACACAUGGGCAAUUCAGGAGCUAGGCAAGGGGGUCUUGCAUCUUACAUCAUCAGUGUGCGCUGAUGAUUACAUAAGCGAGGUAUGGUCAUGCAAUCUGCACAUCCAUGGCAUAGCUUGGUAAGCCCACCUGCGCCUUAAAGAGCCGGACAGACCCCUACCUCCUCUCUCUGUUCUGUUCUCUCUUCCCCUCACCAUCUUUCUCUCUCUUCUCUCUGCACACGUGUCUCCCCCAGGCCUGGUUCUUCUGCCCACCCCUCCCUGCUUCCUCCUAAUAAAGCUCUGAUACUGCGUUUUGUCGUGGCCGUGACCUUUCCACGCAGUAACCAGCACCGCUUAUCAUUCUUACAGUGUCACUGUGAGGGCAGGCUUUGGGGUCUCUUUUGCUCAAGUUUCCCUAGGUGUGAUUAUUAGUUGACUUCCUGUUGCCUUUAAGAUGUAGCACUCUCAGCUCCAGCACUGUGUCUGCCUGCACAAGGCCAUGCUCCCCAUCAUGAUCAUAAUGGACUGAACCUCUGAAACUGUAAGUGUGCCACCCCAAUUAAAUGUUUUCUUUAUAAGAGUUGUCAUGGUUACAGUGUCUCUUCACAGCAAUAAAAACCCAAACUAAAACAAUGAUCCUCCCUCCAACAAGCUCAGCCUCUCUUAAUUGAACCAAAUUACCAAUUUUGCCUUCUUGGGUGUGGAUCACUUGCUCAGGCUGAAUUCUGCCACCGGGCAUAUUUUGGCUCCAAAUUCUAGAGUUCAGCUCUUCAGCUGCUCUCCCCGCAACCGGCUCUAACCACUCUCCUAGACUAUUGAGUAAGUGUCCUUUGGGCUCCUGAAGCCCUCCAAGCCUGUCUGGGCAUCUCUCCAUACUAAGACACUUUCCUCUCCCUCUACUGAAACCCUGCCUUUUCCCCAAAGCCUCUUCCAAUCCAGUUGUCUUCUCCUCUACCUGCUCUAAGCACUCCUUUCUCCUUGUCUGCUGGGUGUCACCCCAGAGCUCUCUGCUUUGUUUACUAUAAAGCCAUACCAGGGUGCCAGGAAGCUCCUGUCACCACCACUGGCCUCCAACCACAAGGACAAGGGACGCCUUUCCUCUGUGAUUUGGAACAUUUCUCUUUAACAAAUCUCAGUCUUUUGGGGGAUGCCCUGGAUUGAGAUUCUUGUGACCACACUUACCCUUCCUCUAUUUCCCUUGCCUAAGUCUCCAUUCCCCUCCCCUCUGCACUCCAAACCCUCUCAGAUAUCCCUGCCUCUGGCUAUGCUCUCCCUCAUAUCUACACAAUAAAACUUCUCUACCAUACAAGGAGCAGUCAUGUUUCCUUUCUAUUUUUUUUCUUUUCCAUUUACAGAAGAGGGCAAUAAAUGACUAUUAAGAGGUCUGCUGAUGGCCCAAGAUAAAUUGGAUCUGGAUUUGCAACAUUAUAGACACUCCACAAUCACUGAAUGAUAGGCAAGCU